AGUGAACGCUGGCGGUAGGCCUAACACAUGCAAGUCGAACGGCAGCACAGUAAGAGCUUGCUCUUACGGGUGGCGAGUGCGGACGGGUGAGGAAUACAUCGGAAUCUACUUUUUCGUGGGGGAUAACGUAGGGAAACUUACGCUAAUACCGCAUACGACCUACGGGUGAAAGCAGGGGAUCUUCGGACCUUGCGCGAUUGAAUGAGCCGAUGUCGGAUUAGCUAGUUGGCGGGGUAAAGGCCCACCAAGGCGACGAUCCGUAGCUGGUCUGAGAGGAUGAUCAGCCACACUGGAACUGAGACACGGUCCAGACUCCUACGGGAGGCAGCAGUGGGGAAUAUUGGACAAUGGGCGCAAGCCUGAUCCAGCCAUACCGCGUGGGUGAAGAAGGCCUUCGGGUUGUAAAGCCCUUUUGUUGGGGAAGAAAAGCAGCAGGUUAAUACCCCGCUGUUCUGACGGUACCCAAAGAAUAAGCACCGGCUAACUUCGUG
rnacentral:rRNA from 1 species